GAUCCAAACUUCGUUUAGAUUCGCAGGAUGAUCGUUUUUGGAAAAGAAAGAUCAACACUAUAGAGGACUGUUCCAGACUGAUCUUGAGUAGAUACCCAUAGAUGUCAGAUACUUGCAUAGUUAAGGAAGAACCUACUUUCUUUCAGAUCCAGAUUCGAAGAAAGAAACUACAAAACAGAUAUGUGAUUCGAUCACAUAUUUAAUUUCAGC
rnacentral:lncRNA from 1 species